AAGACUUAAAGCUCAUGUCUGACGAUGACUUUUUUUAGUCAGGAAGUCAAGUGUGUUGUUUUUCCAUGCAAGCGAGCCCUUUUGUUGGGUCAAAUGACAUCAGAAUUGCUGCUUCUACAUGGAUUUAACCUAAAAUGUGCAAAAAAAAUAUAAAAAGUUUGUUCGAAUCCAGUUCAAAACCUGCUUUGAUGCACAAAUAUUGCCAUUGAUGAUUUUUUUCACUUAUUAAGCCAUAUGUAAGAUCAGCUUUGCCUAUUAGAAUCGAAAGACAUGCCUUGUAUGGAGUCUAAGUGCUGCAUGUAUGAUGUAACCGAGUUUGGCUUUUCUACCUUAAUUCUUGACGCGAAACGCUGUUACGCAUGGCGCUUUCAACGGCAACUUUUAUGAAUUAAUCUGUGUGUCAUUGUACCGGAACUUUGUGAUCUUUCUCAAAACAGAUUAUACCUGUGGGAAAAGUGCCUUUAAUUUAAAUUUGAAGGGGUUGGGUUCUCUUAAAGGUCACAUAACCCCAAACCGGAACUCCUGUUUUUAGGGUUACAUGCAGUCAGUUUGAUACUUAGCACACAUUGUUGAGUGCAUGCUGCCUAGGAUUUGUAAAAUACAUUGCAAAUGGUUGGUUUUGGUAUCAACUUGAAGGUAUAUUUGUAAGCAAUAAGAAAAUAAGCCAUUUUUGUGCUCUACUUUUUGUGUUGAUGGUUCCCGGCUUUGAAAGUAGGUCAUACUAUUUGAGCCCAAAAUGGUUGUCUGCACAGCUGUCAAAACCGGUUUGCCUAUUCUAAGGUAAAUAUUUUGAGUUUGCGCGUAUAGAAUUUAAUGACAUGCAUUUUUUUCAAAAGAUUAUGCAUUAAUCUUUCCAAUGAUGUAUGAUGAUAUAGUGGGUAUGCGCUUCAUCAUGGUAAAAAUUGAUAUCGAACUUCAACUAUUUUAUAUGUAAUAUAGAAGGAAAUUAAUUGCGCAUGCGUAACCUUUAAGCACAUCCGACCAAGUUAGUCGUCUGCCAGAAUUUUGACAUUUGACCAUCAAAAACUCUCUGUAUUGAAAAACAUAACUGCCAGAUGUCAUUUUGACCCAAAUAAGGGCUGUUUGCAAUUGGGCUGUUGCACUUGGGGUCAUAAGGGGGGUAAAUGCUGGAAAAUCACACCGAAACCUGUUCCGGAGACAUAUUCUAAGACUACUUAAACACCCGGUAUUGUUUUUCAGUGCCAUUUUGACAUUAAUUUGCAUCAAUCUCAAUAAUGAACCUAAUGCAUGUCUUUAUUUCAUCUCUAUUUAUUAUUAUUGUUUACUUUUUGAGCCUUUUUCUGUUAAAAAUGCCCGCCAAUUUUGGACCUACACUUCUAUCCGCCUUCGCCUUCAACCCAUUCAGGCAGAUCUACUCAGAAUAACACUACUUUGCCUUAUUUUACCUGUUUGGAUAUCUCGCUGAGUUCAAGUAAAAUCAAGUAUUCAGCUGAAAACACAAAAAUGAUAAUAAUAUUAUGCUUUCUUUCCUGGAAGAAUGUUGUUGCGAUAGACCCUGCAUGAAAAACACCAGGGAAUCUGUAUUUAAGUGACCUUAAUAUUAUGCGUAAACCUAAGUGUGCAUUUGUAGGCGGUGUCGAAAUGGGUCUAUAGCUCAGCCUGAACUGUCGUCCAAUUGGUUUACAAGUCCGGCUGAAGUGACAGGCCAUCAAAAACUGUACAGUGUGACUGAUUCGGAGACGGCCCUCAACACUCGCCCAGUCGUGUCGAGAGGAUCGGUGUCUUUGCAGAUUACACGGAAUUGAGCACCCGGGCCAGACUGACACUUUCCGGAGCCUGCCCGAGACGGAACUCGAGCCGAGGAAUCAGAGGUCCAGGCGGUGUCGAAAUGGGUCUAUAGCUCUGCCUGAACUGUCGUCCAAUUGGUUUACAAGUCCGGCUGAAGUGACAGGCCAUCAAAAACUGUACAGUGUGACUGAUUCGGAGACGGCCCUCAACACUCGCCCAGUCGUGUCGAGAGGAUCGGUGUCUUUGCAGAUUACACGGAAUUGAGCACCCGGGCCAGACUGACACUUUCCGGAGCCUGCCCGAGACGGAACUCGAGCCGAGGAAUCAGAGGUCCAGGCGGUGUCGAAAUGGGUCUAUAGCUCUGCCUGAACUGUCGUCCAAUUGGUUUACAAGUCCGGCUGAAGUGACAGGCCAUCAAAAACUGUACAGUGUGACUGAUUCGGAGACGGCCCUCAACACUCGCCCAGUCGUGUCGAGAGGAUCGGUGUCUUUGCAGAUUACACGGAAUUGAGCACCCGGGCCAGACUGACACUUUCCGGAGCCUGCCCGAGACGGAACUCGAGCCGAGGAAUCAGAGGUCCAGGCGGUGUCGAAAUGGGUCUAUAGCUCUGCCUGAACUGUCGUCCAAUUGGUUUACAAGUCCGGCUGAAGUGACAGGCCAUCAAAAACUGUACAGUGUGACUGAUUCGGAGACGGCCCUCAACACUCGCCCAGUCGUGUCGAGAGGAUCGGUGUCUUUGCAGAUUACACGGAAUUGAGCACCCGGGCCAGACUGACACUUUCCGGAGCCUGCCCGAGACGGAACUCGAGCCGAGGAAUCAGAGGUCCAGGCGGUGUCGAAAUGGGUCUAUAGCUCUGCCUGAACUGUCGUCCAAUUGGUUUACAAGUCCGGCUGAAGUGACAGGCCAUCAAAAACUGUACAGUGUGACUGAUUCGGAGACGGCCCUCAACACUCGCCCAGUCGUGUCGAGAGGAUCGGUGUCUUUGCAGAUUACACGGAAUUGAGCACCCGGGCCAGACUGACACUUUCCGGAGCCUGCCCGAGACGGAACUCGAGCCGAGGAAUCAGAGGUCCAGGCGGUGUCGAAAUGGGUCUAUAGCUCUGCCUGAACUGUCGUCCAAUUGGUUUAC